AAAGCACCUACUCGCGAACGGUCACACGUAUUUUCAGUUUUUGAGAACACAGUUUGAUGAACUUUAUCCGAAAUUUGAGAAAUUUCAAAAUUUCAACGAGUCCAGGCAGGGGUUGCUAAAGUUUCGCCUCGCUCAGCGUGCGCCAUUGACUUUGGCGUGGAAAUCAAAGUGAAACCGCCUACUCCGUUGCCCAAGAAACCCAUACACACACACACACAGCCACACACCCACAAAACGGCAGACAGGAGGAUUUUCCGCUUGCAAUUAUUUCGUUGAGGGUUUCCUUGAAGUUUCCGGCAAUUUCCAUGACGGACCGCGAGCGUAGCAUUCACGAGAUGCUGAAGGAUGCGCCCUCGCUGAACGACAGCUGUGGAGCGGUGCACACGGGCACAGAAGGAGGCAGCCUGGUCCUUGGCAGCGCCAGCAGCCACAGCAUCGCCGGAGGAGGAGGUGGCGGAGGCGGUGGAUGUGGAGUUGGCGGCCCUUUUGGUGCUCCCAACAGUCUGCCACUAAGGAACCAUUCAGCACCCACCACACCCAUGUCGCCCAGUAGUCCACCAUCCGGAAACGGCAUCCUAAGUCCCACGGAAAGCGGGAGCAGCAGCAUUAUCCGCACUAGCGCCUCCAAGAUCGACAGUCUCAAAAACUGGAGUAUAUCGACGUACAAGUGCACUCGACAGAUUAUGCUGGAGAAGUUGGGCAAGUCGCAGCGCACCGUCGACUCGGAACUGGAAGCGCAGAUUGAGCAGUUGCGCGAAACGCAGCGCAAGUAUCUGUCCAUCUUAAGGUUAACGCGGGCCUUCAGCUCGCACUUCCAGCACGUGGUCGUCACACAGCACGCCCUGGCCGACUCCUUCGCCGAUCUGGCCCAAAAGAAUCCCGAGCUGCAGAAGGAGUUCACGUGCAAUUCGGAGACGCAGCGCAACCUCACCAAGAACGGUGAACUGCUGCUCAAUGCGCUCAACUUCUUCAUUUCGUCGGUAAACACGCUGUGCAACAAGACGAUCGACGACACACUACUGACGAUACGACAGUACGAAACGGCCAGAAUCGAGUUCGAUGCCUACCGCAUGGACUUGGAGAACACCAAGCCGGAGCUGACACCCUCGGCUGCCGCACUGGAGGAGACCCAGCGGAGCUAUGCGCAGCACAAGGAGCAGUACGAGAAGCUGCGCUCUGACGUGGCGGUCAAAAUGCAGUUCCUCGACGAGAAUCGCAUUAAAGUGAUGCACAAGCAACUGAUUCUGCUGCACAAUGCCAUCGCUGCCUACUUCUCGGGCAAUGCCAUGGCACUGGAGAGCACUCUAAAGCAGUUCAACAUAAAGCUAAAGUCACCCAAUGCCGUCACUGGUUCCUGGCUGGAGCAGUAGAGUCAGUAGAAUCACGAGCACGUUGCGGACGGCGCUAAGGCGCCUAUAUUGGAGGAGACCAGAUCCGGCGUCCACAUCCACUCACUUGCUGAACGAGCACGCUCUCUAAAAAAAAGAAAUCGGAUGCAGAAAAAAUUCAAUAUGCAAUGCAGUGCAUUGACACUGCACGACGAACCAUAACAAUAUUUUCGUGCUAAGUUUAAGUCGAAUUCCUAAGAAGUUUAUUGCGAUAAUUUUGAUAGAUCCACGCCAAACAAAUGGGCACGUUGUGUUGCGGUGCUGCCAACUCGCUGCG
rnacentral:misc_RNA from 1 species